GGUCAGCUCUUACAACUUAAUCCACUUAAAAGGCUGUGAAAAAGAAGAGGACAAUAAUCACCUGUCUAGAUUUUGGGAUUCAAUACUGACACAUUUUGCACAGGUACUUAUGAAUUCCUCAACAAGUCCAGCAUACAUAUAUGGAGAAUGGCUCCCAGUGUGCUUGGAGAAUUACUUUCUUUCUGCAGUCUUAUGGCCAUUACUGGCAUUAGUGGCAGUUCCUCUUUGGCUUUUCUUCUAUAUCUACCUAUCUCUUUUUAUUGUCCUGGCCUAUGAGAUGUCUGGCAAAGUUAAGGAACAGCCCCAUAAAACCUACUAUUUUAUUUUGGGAUAUCUCUGGGACUCCUUUGGAAGAAUAUGGCAUGGUUAUGAAAUACAUGGAAUAGAAAAUCUACCAGAUGGACCAUGCCUUAUUAUUUAUUAUCAUGCUGCACUUCCUAUAGAUUACAUUUUAUUUUUAGCAAGAAUCUUUUUCCUGAAGAACAAACUGUGUUGUCACACCGUGGUUGAUCGUUUUGUCUUUAAG